rnacentral:rRNA from 1 species
GACGAACGCUGGCGGCGUGCUUAACACAUGCCAGUCGAACGAUGAAGCAAAGAAUCGAAGCUUCGGCAGAAAUUCAUUUCGGAUUAGUGGCAGACGGGUGAGUAACGCGUGAGCAACCUACCUCUUACAAAGGGAUAGCCUCGGGAAACCGGGAUUAAUACCAUAUAACAUUGCGACGAAGCAUUUCGAUGCAAUCAAAGCUACGGCGGUAAGAGAUGGGCUCGCGUCCCAUUAACCGGAUGGUGAGGUAACGGCUCACCAUAGUGACGAUGGGUAACCGGCCUGAGAGGGUGAACGGUCACACUGGAACUGAGACACGGUCCAGACUCCUACGGGAGGCAGCAGUGGGGAAUAUUGCACAAUGGAGGGAACUCUGAUGCAGCGACGCCGCGUGAGUGAUGAAGGAAUUCGUUUCGUAAAACUCUGUUCUAUGGGAAGAAAAGGACUGUACCAUAGGAGAAAGCUCCGGCUAAAUACGU